UACGUAGGGUCCGAGCGUUGUCGAUGAAUCUGGGCGUAAAGAGCUCGUAGGCGGUUUGUCGCGUCUGCUGUGAAAACUGGAGGCUCAACCUCCAGCCUGCAGUGGGUACGGGCAGACUAGAGUGCGGUAGGGGAGAUUGGAAUUCCUGGUGUAGCGGUGGAAUGCGCAGAUAUCAGGAGGAACACCGAUGGCGAAGGCAGAUCUCUGGGCCGUAACUGACGCUGAGACGCGAAAGCGUGGGGAGCAAACAGG
rnacentral:rRNA from 1 species